rnacentral:misc_RNA from 1 species
ACCCCCAGUUGCCAGUAAAACCUGUCACACAGUUUAACAUUGAAAUUAGUCUAUAAACUGCUGAACAAGAGUGUCCGAAAAGAAAUCACAUCAAGCAAAACCUAUGUUAUUGGCAAUUGCUUAUGAGAAUAUAUGUUAACACAUGAUCCUCAACUUACAAACUAAAUAAAAAAAAAAAUCCAACCUACACAAAAUAAUAAAUAAAAUACCAAACUUUUGGGUUGAAUCAGUAGAUUCAGGUAAUUUUAUUCCAUAUCAGUAUGCUACUUGCACUAACUCUGGAAACAGAUAAAAAAGAAAAAAUUGGAAAGUUUCAUCUAUGAAAUACUUCAUUGCAAAAAGAAAUCAAUGGCACUAAUAUUGCUCUUAUUAUAAAAUACAGAAAAAUUUUCAGGAAGAAAUGACCAGAAUUCUAACCCAAUCCCAAAAUUCAAUCUAGAGCUACUAUCUGAUCAUUUUGUUACCCCAAAAAUAUCUGAUACUUUUAUGAUCUAUUUACUCUGUUUACAUGAACCAUUGGAAUUAUUUUAAGAUUUUAUUGUUUUAGUUCUCACUUAAUCUAACUUUGCUUUAUAGUUUAAUGACUUUAUUUAUGCACAUUAUAGAUAGAACCAUAGAGAUGCAUAUCUGGAAGCCUAAAGAAGAAAAAGAACGUCCCAAGUGCUUUUGUUGGAAAUUUUUUUCCGUGUAGUCAAGCUUCCUAGUUCUAUCAUAAAAAAAGGCUUCCCAGUUCCUAGUUCCUUCCCAUAUUCUGACACUAUUGUCUAUGAUUAGAUUGUAGUAGUAAUCAUUUUCUCAUUAGCACUAAAAAUUCAGCUUAUCGUAAAUUACAUUGUCCAUAAUCAGGUAUCCCAGACUCACAAACCCAGAGCAGGAGAAAUUGUGGGAAACAAACCUGGGUGGCAUUAGCAGUGG